rnacentral:tRNA from 1 species
AAAUAAGAAGCAUAAAAUGUAUUUAGUUUCGACCUAAAAGAUGGCUAGAAAGCCCUUAUUUA